ensembl:lncRNA
GUUUAAACUGAAGUAAAGAUAGAAUUGCUUUUAAUGCAUACUUCUCAAACCUUCUGUGUUUUAAAUAAAGUUUGUGGAAAUCUUGAUCCUCUCUGUUAAGAGUUGUACUUUCAAGGUCUCUUUCUUUCUAGAGAUCCGCAAGCAAAAGCAUGGCACGCAAACUUUUUGUAGUCAUCGUGCUCUUUCUCCUGGUGGGGGGUCUGACUGCGCAGACACCAGAUGAGGAUGGCAUCAUCCUGUCUGAACUGUACAACACCCCAGCAGAGGAUCUGCAAGAUGCUGUGGCGCCCGUGCGUGCCAAGCGCUUCUUUCUUGGCCAUCUCUUUAGGUUGGGAACUCGUAUAGCGGGCAAGAUCUUGCGUCAUUAUCCUCACCAGGACCAUAAAUAGGGAGCACUGCAACAGUAUCCCCCCUCACAUGUGCACCGCCACACCUGUGAGCCGACAGUGAAGCAUCGAGGCAUUUCAACUCCACUCGUUCAGAGUGAGAAUCUGUGAAAUCAUCACAAUGCCGCCGAAACUCUCCUGUUUGUGAAGAAAUAAAGAAAUUCUGCAGC